CGCAGACGGCAGCAAUCGUGGUGUUUUCGGAAAAGCGACGGUGGCGCCAGCCCGACGUACUUAACUGACGGAGGGUUGCAAAUCAAAGAACCAAUUAAUACACAUGAUUGUGAAUCAUCAAGGGAAUUAAGGACUUCACCAAGUCCGGGCUGAGUGUCGGCGAAAAAAGUGCGUUUUGGCUGUAUGAAAAAGUCAGUUCGUGGAGUAAACGCUGGUUCACCCACAUAUUCCUGGUAGUUGUG